AGGAUGAACGCUGGCGGCGUGCUUAACACAUGCAAGUCGAACGAUGAAGGCUGGAGCUUGCUCUGGCUGGAUUAGUGGCGAACGGGUGAGUAACACGUGAGUAACCUGCCCCAGACUCUGGGAUAAGCGCUGGAAACGGCGUCUAAUACCGGAUACGAGCUUCCACCGCAUGGUGAGGAGCUGGAAAGAAUUUCGGUCUGGGAUGGACUCGCGGCCUAUCAGCUUGUUGGUGAGGUAAUGGCUCACCAAGGCGACGACGGGUAGCCGGCCUGAGAGGGUGACCGGCCACACUGGGACUGAGACACGGCCCAGACU
rnacentral:rRNA from 1 species